CCACAGCGUGCAAGGACUGAGUGUGAGCUCCAGGCAAUCCUUCUCCUCCCUAAAAUUCACAAAACUCCUUUCCACAUUUUUCUGUUAUAGACACUCGGAUUUCUUCUUCUUCAUAGUCAUCGAAGUUGCUGGUAUCGCCAGAGCCUCUGAAUUUUGGUAUGAAUGGAGCCUCAACCUUUCUCUGGUAAAUCGCGAUCCAGUCGGUCGUAGCAAACCACUUGUGGGUCUUGAUGUCACUCACGCCAUUCUUCAGGUUCCCAAACCGCUUUGUCAGAUCCACCUGCAGCAGAUUCCGCAGAAGGUCCUUGAGAUCGGAACUGAAGUGCGACGGGAAGCGGACCUUUCCGGAAACAAUCUUCUCAUAAAUCUGAAUUGGCUGAUCAACAGCUGGGGAGUGAAUGCAAACCUGCUUGGGAGAUGCACUGUGGAUGCCAACCUGACUGCUUUCAACUUGGUUAUGAUGAAGAAAGAGAAAAGAGUGAGAGGAGGAGGAGAGGAGGCAGCAGCAGCUUGGGAUGUAUUCAGUUGGAGUGCUUGCCUGGUACUCAUAAGGCCAUGGCAUGGCGUCACAUGCAUAUGAUCCUAGUCCUCGGGAGACUGGGGCAAGAGGAUCAGCAGUUGAUGGAGAACUCAAGGCCAGUCUGAGAUAAGACCGUAAGAAUAAACUAACAACAAACAAGAGAGACCAAGCCUGGACAGACAUAUCAUUAUAUCUGCAUAUCUGAGUCCAAAAAGACUUAGUGGGAUCUUCAGAAUCUUCAAGUUUGUUGACUGUGUAAAACCCUUAAUUCCAGUAAGAAGGAAGCUGAGUUCAGAGAAUUUGGCUCAUUCGCUGUCAAGAAUGCUACCAAGCUUGUUUUAGCGGAAGAAUGGAAAAAUGACUGGAUUAGAUGAUACUGAU
rnacentral:lncRNA from 1 species